rnacentral:snRNA from 1 species
GCGCUGGCUUCAGCAGGACAUUCACUAAAAUGGGAAGGACACAGAGCUUAGCGUGGGCUCUGUGCAAGGAUGAAACUCAAUUUCCUGAGGCCUUCCAUGCUUUU